UGCUUCGCUAAACUCCUCACAUUCACAGACCCACAGAGUGCAGUGCCUGAGACCAGCUCCUUCUGGCAGUUUGCCUCCGGAAGGGACGCUUCAAUCCCCUCUAGCCCCCUUUCGCCCUGCCUUUUGUGACCAGCAAACUGUACCAAAGAGGUGAUUAGAUGGUGGCCCUCACCGAGAACUGCCUUGGCGCAGCCAUGCUGGUCUCCUGACAAAGUCACCCACAGCCAAAGUCUCUGCAGAUCCCUAACUGCACCUUGUUCAGUGUAUUCUUUCUAUCUCUGGAGGCAUUGAACUUCACGCCUUACUAGAGGCUGCAGAAUCUUCUACAUUCUUCAGCUUUGGAGGCCCAGGGUGAACAUGCCAUGGAGUGAGUAGUCACCCCAGAGAUUUCCUGCCUUGAUUCCAGAAGAACCUGGUAGAUCAGUUGAGGAGUGGCACAGAUUGGACCCUACCCAGAGGAAUAUGCACAAGGAUGUGAUGCUGGAGACCUACAGUCACUGGGUCUCUGCGUGGCCAAACCAGACAUGAUCUUCAAGUUGGAGUGGGGAGAAGAACUGUGUCUAUUAGAAGAGGAAUCCUCAGGUAUGUACAGCCCAAGUUGGCCUGAAACUCAUGAACCUCCUACUUCAGUCUUCCAAUUAUGAGAGGAGAUUUUACAUGAAAGAGUGACAUACUUUUUGUUUUUAAAGGACCUGUGUCUUUACUGUGUGGCAACAGUUCAAUUGAGAGUAAUGCCCUUGUGCUGGAGAACAGUUUUUCAGCAUCAGAGUAUUCAAAUUGUGAAUCAAAAUGUUGGUUAUGGAGCUGGAGAGAUGGCUCAGCAGUUAAGAGCACAGACUGCUCUUCCAGAGGUCCUGAGUUCAAUUCCC